UCCCCGUUAACCGGGGCAGUCCCCCUAGAGUUCCCGGCAUGACCCGUUGGCAACUAGGGGCGAGGGUUGCGCUCGUUGCGGGACUUAACCCAACAUCUCACGACACGAGCUGACGACAGCCAUGCAGCACCUGUGUCGGCUCCCCUUGCGGGGUCGGGCCCCUUUCGGUUUCCUACCACCGACAUGUCAAGCCCAGGUAAGGUUUUUCGCGUUGCGUCGAAUUGAACCACAUGCUCCACCGCUUGUGCGGGUCCCCGUCAAUUCCUUUGAGUUUUAAUCUUGCGACCGUACUCCCCAGGCGGAAUGCUUAAUCCGUUAGGUGUGACACCGAAGGGCAAGCCCCCCGACACCUAGUGAACAUCGUUUAUGGCUAAGACUAC
rnacentral:misc_RNA from 1 species